rnacentral:lncRNA from 1 species
UUCUCCCUAAGCCUAUCACCAGAACAUAGCCAGACACCAUAGACACCUAGCAGAGUAAAACAAUGAUCUUGAGUGAGGGGACCACAGAAGCCAAAGAGCACUGAAUCUAUAAACAGAGAGGCCCAUGUCAAAGGUGCAAACAGAGUCCACUGUAGCUUUGAACAAGGCUGGAUUCUCCAUCUGAAAAAUUGUGCAGCAUCAUGCAGUGUGAUAUUACUGUUACAAUCAGAUUUCUGCUAUAGGACCAGAGCACAGUACCCUCUAUAGAACUACUGGUGACAAGUGAAAGGAAACACAAAGCCUAUAAUGAGUUCAGACUGUUGGCCUAGCCCAGGGAGGAUGUUAUUGUCCAGUGUGUCUCAAGCAAUAAUAUAACAGGUUUAUUCCAAUUAAGGCAGGACCACAGAAGCUCUCAUGGACCAUGGACUCACAGUAUAACCACUCCUCUGGGAAGUUUGAAACCCUGUUCUCUCUGAGCUCUUUGACUCCCAACCAGAGGUGGACAGUCAGAUGCUGCAGCAAUUAUAGGAGCAAACCUGGGAAUGGUCAAAACCUAGUAAGUCACUAGAGCUGCUGCUCUCAGGAGAGGCAUCCUAGCCUUUCUCUACAAUAAUGUUAAAUCAGGCUCUGUGAUCACCUCAGGAUUUCCCAUGACUUACUGUUGUUAGUGGAUCAUAGAUUCAGAACUGUAUGUUUUGCAUAAAGAGGAAAGCCCUCAAACCUGGGACACCCAGACCCCAGAGGAGCCUGAGAACAAGGGUGAGUUUUCCAACUCUUCUGUGACAUAUUACAAUGCCAGCUGAUGUCAUGGCUAAUGUCAUAGCUCAGCUUUCUGGUCAGACCACAAUGUUGUCCUGGAUAGAGGGAACAGUCAGAAAUGUACUACAAUAACCUCAGCCUGUCAGCCCUUCUCAGCCCUGUGGUGAUUUUUAGGAGGUAAUAUUACACUCCAGUGUCUCUCAAUUGAGGGAUAUGAAAAGUUUAUUCUCACCAAGGAAGAUUAAAAGUUUCUCACCACCCUGGACUCAUAGUCCAUACACUUUAUUGGGCAGUACCAAGCCUAGUUAUCUAUAUCCAUAGAUAUAUGACCCCAGACCACAAAGGAACAUGCAGAUGUUAUGGUUACUACAAGAAUUGCCCACAUUUGUUGUCACUACCCAGUGACCCUC